CAAUAAUUUUUUGUGACCAUCUAUCAUACGCUGUAACUUUUUUGAUUCCUUCUCAGUUUCACAGUCUUUCUGUGCAUCCCAUAGCACCUGACCAAGAUCAUCAAUAGGGCUAUUUUCUGCAAACUCUCCUUCAUCAGUCUCGCUCAUUGUAGUAUUUGCAAAAGAUUGGCAUGCAGCCCAGUCCGGAAUGUUGUUAUCAUCCUCCUCUUCUUUGUCGUCUUCCAUUAUAACCCCUCUUUCGUC
rnacentral:lncRNA from 1 species